CCCGCUGAACUUAAGCAUAUCAAUAAGCGGAGGAAAAGAAACUAACAAGGAUUCCCCUAGUAACUGCGAGUGAAGCGGGAAAAGCUCAAAUUUAAAAUCUGACGGUUACGCCGUCCGAGUUGUAAUCUGGAGAAGCGUUUUCUGUGUUGGCCCGUGCAUAAAUCUCUUGGAACAGAGUGUCAUAGAGGGUGAGAAUCCCGUCUUUGGCACGGACUACCAAUGCUAUACGAUACGCUCUCAAAGAGUCGAGUUGUUUGGGAAUGCAGCUCAAAAUGGGUGGUAAAUUCCAUCUAAAGCUAAAUAUUGGCGAGAGACCGAUAGCGAACAAGUACCGUGAGGGAAAGAUGAAAAGCACUUUGGAAAGAGAGUUAAACAGUACGUGAAAUUGUUGAAAGGGAAACGCUUGAAGUCAGUCGCGUUAGUCGGGGAUCAGCCUUCCUUUUGGUUGGUGUACUUCCUGAUUGACGGGUCAGCAUCAGUUUUGACCGGUGGAUAAGAGCUUGAGGAAUGUGGCAUCUUCGGGUGUGUUAUAGCCUCUUGUUGUAUACAUCGGUUGGGACUGAGGAACUCAGCACGCCGCAAGGCCGGGUUUUUAACCACGUACGUGCUUAGGAUGCUGGCAUAAUGGCUUUAAUCGACCCGUCUUGAAACACGG
rnacentral:rRNA from 1 species